rnacentral:rRNA from 1 species
UUGCGGCGUGCUUAACACAUGCAAGUCGAACGGAAAGGCCCUGCUUUUGUGGGGUGCUCGAGUGGCGAACGGGUGAGUAACACGUGAGUAACCUGCCCUUGACUUUGGGAUAACUUCAGGAAACUGGGGCUAAUACCGGAUAGGAGCUCCUGCUGCAUGGUGGGGGUUGGAAAGUUUCGGCGGUUGGGGAUGGACUCGCGGCUUAUCAGCUUGUUGGUGGGGUAGUGGCUUACCAAGGCUUUGACGGGUAGCCGGCCUGAGAGGGUGACCGGCCACAUUGGGACUGAGAUACGGCCCAGACUCCUACGGGAGGCAGCAGUGGGGAAUAUUGCACAAUGGGCGGAAGCCUGAUGCAGCAACGCCGCGUGCGGGAUGACGGCCUUCGGGUUGUAAACCGCUUUCGCCUGUGACGAAGCGUGAGUGACGGUAAUGGGUAAAGAAGCACCGGCUAACUACGUGCCAGCAGCCGCGGUGAUACGUAGGGUGCGAGCGUUGUCCGGAUUUAUUGGGCGUAAAGGGCUCGUAGGUGGUUGAUCGCGUCGGAAGUGUAAUCUUGGGGCUUAACCCUGAGCGUGCUUUCGAUACGGGUUGACUUGAGGAAGGUAGGGGAGAAUGGAAUUCCUGGUGGAGCGGUGGAAUGCGCAGAUAUCAGGAGGAACACCAGUGGCGAAGGCGGUUCUCUGGGCCUUUCCUGACGCCGAGGAGCGAAAGCGUGGGGAGCGAACAGGCUUAGAUACCCUGGUAGUCCACGCUGUAAACGGUGGGUACUAGGUGUGGGGUCCGUUCCACGGGUUCCGUGCCGUAGCUAACGCUUUAAGUACCCCGCCUGGGGAGUACGGCCGCAAGGCUAAAACUCAAAGGAAUUGACGGGGCCCCGCACAAGCGGCGGAGCAUGCGGAUUAAUUCGAUGCAACGCGUAGAACCUUACCUGGGUUUGACAUGGAUCGGGAGUGCUCAGAGAUGGGUGUGCCUCCUUUGGGGUCGGUUCACAGGUGGUGCAUGGCUGUCGUCAGCUCGUGUCGUGAGAUGUUGGGUUAAGUCCCGCAACGAGCGCAACCCUUGUUCACUGUUGCCAGCACGUUAUGGUGGGGACUCAGUGGAGACCGCCGGGGUCAACUCGGAGGAAGGUGGGGAUGACGUCAAGUCAUCAUGCCCCUUAUGUCCAGGGCUUCACGCAUGCUACAAUGGCUGGUACAGAGAGUGGCGAGCCUGUGAGGGUGAGCGAAUCUCGGAAAGCCGGUCUCAGUUCGGAUUGGGGUCUGCAACUCGACCUCAUGAAGUCGGAGUCGCUAGUAAUCGCAGAUCAGCAACGCUGCGGUGAAUACGUUCCCGGGGCUUGUACACACCGCCCGUCAAGUCAUGAAAGUUGGUAACACCCGAAGCCGGUGGCCUAACCGUUGUGGGGGAGCCGUCGAAGGUGGGACUGGUGAUUAGGAC